ACGUCAUCAACUUUUGAUAGUAAUGCUACUAGCUCCUCGUUGCAUCAAGAAUUACCAUUAUUAUAAGCUCUCAGCUCACAUUAUUCUCACGCACCCCACUGUGAAAUAUAUAUAUUGCUUUUGGAUUGAAGUUGGUUCUGAUGAGUUGGACUUUAUUGUGUGGAGUUAUCAACUUUUUAUUUCAUGAGACUUUGUUUUGAACAUUUUAUA